GACGAACGCUGGCGGCGUGCUUAACACAUGCAAGUCGAACGGAAAGGCCCUGCUUGCAGGGUUCUCGAGUUGCGAACGGGCGGGUAACACGUGGGUGAUUUGCCCUGCUCUUAGGGAUGAGUCUGUGAAACUAGGUGUAGUAACGGCCGGGAGCCAUAUUGAGUGGGAUGGUUGGAAAGUGUUUGCGGGGUAGGAUGAGUUCGCGGCGUAUCGGCUUGUUGGUGGGGUAAUGGGCUACCAAAGCGGCGGCGGGUGGCCGGCCUGAGAGGGUGGACGGCCACAUUGGGUCUGAGGGACGGCCGAGACACCUACGGGAGGCAGCAGGGCGGAAUACUGCCGGAUGGGCGCAAGCCUGAUGCUGAGAGGCCGCGGGGGGGAUGACUGCCUUCGGGUUGUAAACUCCUUUCGCUAGGGACGAAGCUUUUUGUGACGGUACCUAGACAAGAAGCCCCGGCUAACUACGUG
rnacentral:rRNA from 1 species